CCGAAACUAUGCCUGUGUGUUAUGACUCAAGAAAACACACAGGGUGCAGCGAUGUACCAAAGCUGCAAGGUUGCGUGAGCGUAUGUGAUUAAGGACCCACAGUAGGCAAGUUUUGGUGACACAAGCUGACUGGAAGAACAAGAAGAAGGAGGAGGUGCAUGUCAUGAGAAGCCUGAGAAACGAGCUCCAGCUUCCUGUGAAGCGAAGUCCACGUGACACCCGUCCGCCCCUCUGGCCCAGCAGAAACCACAGCAGCCCCAUCAACAGGUGGCAUGGAGUUAAGUCCGGGGCCCGGUGUCAGGCUCUGGGGCCCCUGGUGACGUGAGAGGAACCACAUCUGCUCACAGUCAGCAUGAAAGACCCCCUGAAGCCAGUGGAAAACACACACACACUUCUUCACUGUAAGCAAUGGGAUCAUCACUUUCUGACCUGAGUGUAUGUGUGUGUGUGUGUGUGUGUGUGUGUGUGUGUGUGUGUGUGUGUGUGUGUGUGUGUGUGUGUGUACAGUAUGUGUGUGUGUUGCUGGGUGAGAAAUCUGAUCUGAUCAUGUUGCCUCUCUGCCAUGGUGGAAAAAUCAGCAUGGAUUUGAGCAUACAUCUGUUUCCAAGAGCUCCUGCUGCCUUUUUACACACAGCAGCUCUUUCAGGGGACCCAACUGACCAGAGUACAGCUUUAAUUGACAUUUUUUUUGGCCUAGAUGUUUGUUCUAGCUAGGCUUUUGCAGUCUGAACUGAUAACAUGCAUUUCUAUUGUGUGGCACACAAAACAAACAUACAGCACAAAGCUGGACC